UAAACUUGCCAAUUCUGAUAGCCUGACUCGGCCGCCAGUGGUGGAUGUUCGGGAGUGGAGUCCACCCCCACGCGCUCCGAUCUUGACGGCUAUGGGUGUAUUCCUGACGACUUUCUUACUCUCUUCGAGUGCUGCGUCGGCGACGGUCACCACCGCCACGGUUUCUUGACUUCGCCAGAGAACUCGGUCGCCGGCGAGGGAAGCUCGGGAGUGGAGUCCAUGCGCUCCGAUCUUGAGGGGCGAUGGACACUGACUUCACAAAUUGUUCUUCUUCCACAACAACUAUUAGAUGCAGAAAUGGGGGAAGAAGAAGGAGCAGGAGAAAUUCAAAUCCAAUCACUCCUAGAACAGAGUUUCCAAGAAUCAACCAACCCAAACCCCACCUGCAAACAAGCCUUCGAGUAGGCCUCCCCCUCUCACUCAAUCAAAGUCGUCAUAGUGAGAUGGCAACUCAUUCGGAACAAGCUCAUGGAAAUAUCUUCUGCAUUGACCAUAUCUGAUGAGUGCACUGAGCUUCCAAGGCAUGGUUCAAGAAAUGACGUUCGCAGUCGGGGAGUGUCGUGGCCUUGCUGAGAAAUGCAUGGUGCAUCCCUAUGGCGGGAAGCUAUUGAUUCAGAGCAAUUUGGACAUGGUCUUGACAAAGCUCCGUUGCCAUGUCAAGAAUCUCUCCAGGAUGUGCAAAACCAGUUUUUUUCCUCAUGGGUAUGCCGUUGUUGUCUCAAAGCCCAGCUUUGGGGCUUGUAAGGAGGACAUGAGGUUUUAUGUUAAGGAUUUUUGGACAAGGAGGAAGAUUGAGGAAGACCCAGAAAUGAAGAGCCAAGCUCUGGCUAGUUUGCACGAAGUUGCGAAUGACGAUGAGAAAUUUGUGAAGGUGGUCAUGGAAGUUGGUGAGGUCAUUCACCUCUUGGUCAGCUCUCUUGAUUCUCUGGAGAUUGAAGUUCAAGAAGAGGCUGCAAGAGUGCUCUCAGUGGUUGCAGGGUUUGAUUCAUGCAGGGGUAUCGUGAUCACCUGGUCUGCUGCCACUUACUGAUGAGAAACUUAAGUUCUUGGCCACCUUAGCAGAAUGCUUUUCAUAAGUGUUUCUGUUAGCCCUCAUGAUAAACUUAACUAAAGUUAGAUUGGGAGAAAUUUUGGAUCAGAAUUCUUGUUAAAGUUGUAUCUGGCUGUGGCUCUUGGUGGUCCAGAAUUCUAUUUAGUGAAUCAUGCUUUCAUGCGUUCGCAGUCGAAGGUAAACUGAAUAUAUGGAAAUAUGCGUAGAAUUAUUUUGUGGACUUUUAGCUAAUGCAAAUUUUUCUUAUCUCAAACUUUGCACGGUCAAGGAAUGUUCCGCAUAGACCCUUCGAGAAUGCCAGGAUUGGGGGCUAGUGGAGCUGUUAAUGCUAUCAUGCUGCUUGAUAUAUCUCUUUCCAAAAGCCACACUCUACUUCGACUUUAUCAUUCCAGUUCCUGCCAUCUUACUGGGAAUUUUUCUGGUAGGCAAAGAUGUGUUGAGGUUAAUGAAGUGGGUGUCAAGGUGAUUGCCUCGAGGGUGUCGCUGAAAACUUAUAUAGCAGCUGGCAGAAAUGGCUCCGGAGUUCUGUAAAAUACUGAAAAAGAUGGCAUAACAAUGGAUGACGAGCUCUUUAAUUUGUGCAAAGAGGCAUGUGCACCACGGCUACUAUGGCGGGAGCAUUACUGACGUACACAAUUAGACAAUCUUUGUAUAAUUAAAAGUUCACAAUAGCUCUUAGACGUCGCUGGUAUAUGUUUGCUGCAUGCAAGGCCCGAAAUAAUUGCGGAGAUCUUUUGUUGAUUCUGCACUGGGAAGUAUCAGCCUAAUAGUCAUUGUUGCUCACUCUGUUAUCAGAGCACUUUGAUGUGAAAGUAUCUGUCAAGAUGGCCAAUGAUGCAUGUUGUAUAAAGAUAUGCAAAGAAUGUUAAUUGAAUAAUUUAGUAGUGAGCUUCUCCUGCAA